GUGAGGAAUUUUCCGCAAUGGGCGAAAGCCUGACGGAGCAAUGCCGCGUGAAGGAUGAAGGCCUAUGGGUUGUAAACUUCUUUUCUCAGAAAAGAAUUAUGACGGUAUCUGAGGAAUAAGCAUCGGCUAACUCUGUGCCAGCAGCCGCGGUAAGACAGAGGAUGCAAGCGUUAUCCGGAAUGAUUGGGCGUAAAGCGUCUGUAGGUUGUUUAAAAAGUAUUCUGUCAAAGAUUAGGGCUUAACCCUAGAUAGGCAGAAUAAACUUUUAAGCUAGAGUUUGGUAGAGGCAGAGGGAAUUCCCGGUGGAGCAGUGAAAUGCGUAGAUAUCGGGAGGAACACCAAAGGCGAAGGCACUCUGCUGGGCCAAUACUAACACUGAGAGACGAAAACGAGGGGAGCAAAUGGGAUUAGAAACCCGUGUAGUCC
rnacentral:rRNA from 1 species